GGGCGGCGUGCCUAAUACAUGCAAGUCGAACGAACUCUGGUAUUGAUUGGUGCUUGCAUCAUGAUUUACAUUUGAGUGAGUGGCGAACUGGUGAGUAACACGUGGGAAACCUGCCCAGAAGCGGGGGAUAACACCUGGAAACAGAUGCUAAUACCGCAUAACAACUUGGACCGCAUGGUCCGAGUUUGAAAGAUGGCUUCGGCUAUCACUUUUGGAUGGUCCCGCGGCGUAUUAGCUAGAUGGUGGGGUAACGGCUCACCAUGGCAAUGAUACGUAGCCGACCUGAGAGGGUAAUCGGCCACAUUGGGACUGAGACACGGCCCAAACUCCUACGGGAGGCAGCAGUAGGGAAUCUUCCACAAUGGACGAAAGUCUGAUGGAGCAACGCCGCGUGAGUGAAGAAGGGUUUCGGCUCGUAAAACUCUGUUGUUAAAGAAGAACAUAUCUGAGAGUAACUGUUCAGGUAUUGACGGUAUUUAACCAGAAAGCCACGGCUAACUACGUGCCAGCAGCCGCGGUAAUACGUAGGUGGCAAGCGUUGUCCGGAUUUAUUGGGCGUAAAGCGAGCGCAGGCGGUUUUUUAAGUCUGAUGUGAAAGCCUUCGGCUCAACCGAAGAAGUGCAUCGGAAACUGGGAAACUUGAGUGCAGAAGAGGACAGUGGAACUCCAUGUGUAGCGGUGAAAUGCGUAGAUAUAUGGAAGAACACCAGUGGCGAAGGCGGCUGUCUGGUCUGUAACUGACGCUGAGGCUCGAAAGUAUGGGUAGCAAACAGGAUUAGAUACCCUGGUAGUCCAUACCGUAAACGAUGAAUGCUAAGUGUUGGAGGGUUUCCGCCCUUCAGUGCUGCAGCUAACGCAUUAAGCAUUCCGCCUGGGGAGUACGGCCGCAAGGCUGAAACUCAAAGGAAUUGACGGGGGCCCGCACAAGCGGUGGAGCAUGUGGUUUAAUUCGAAGCUACGCGAAGAACCUUACCAGGUCUUGACAUACUAUGCAAAUCUAAGAGAUUAGACGUUCCCUUCGGGGACAUGGAUACAGGUGGUGCAUGGUUGUCGUCAGCUCGUGUCGUGAGAUGUUGGGUUAAGUCCCGCAACGAGCGCAACCCUUAUUAUCAGUUGCCAGCAUUAAGUUGGGCACUCUGGUGAGACUGCCGGUGACAAACCGGAGGAAGGUGGGGAUGACGUCAAAUCAUCAUGCCCCUUAUGACCUGGGCUACACACGUGCUACAAUGGAUGGUACAACGAGUUGCGAACUCGCGAGAGUAAGCUAAUCUCUUAAAGCCAUUCUCAGUUCGGAUUGUAGGCUGCAACUCGCCUACAUGAAGUCGGAAUCGCUAGUAAUCGCGGAUCAGCAUGCCGCGGUGAAUACGUUCCCGGGCCUUGUACACACCGCCCGUCACACCAUGAGAGUUUGUAACACCCAAAGUCGGUGGGGUAACCUUUUAGGAACCAGCCGCCUAAGGUGGACAA
rnacentral:rRNA from 2 species